rnacentral:lncRNA from 1 species
GUAUAGAUCCCUCACAAAAUACAGUGGAGGACCUGAUGCUGCGAAUCUGCCAUGAAAACAAGGUUGACCGAAACUUGUCUGUAUGCCUUUACACUGCUGAUGGUAUGCCUUUGACCGAUGACCCCUUUUUCAACACAUGGUCUUUGAAUGACAGACGCAAGUGGGAGUGAACUGUAUGCCAUAUUUACACCAAGGGAAAAUUUAACAGAGUUACCACCAACGCAAAGACAGGCCAACAUCAGAAUUGAAGGACCGAGUGUCAUCCGCUGUCACAUAGCGUUACAGGGAGACUUUGAAAUCAAAGUCAACCUUGAAAGUGAUACACUGAGAGAUGUGACACUACGGCUUUCUCUCGAAAGUAGUAUACCAGCACCAGUUCUUCACAUCAGAGGUGAUGAGUAUAAUCAUGUUGACAAACUAAGUGAGCUUGGAGUCACAGAGGAUUCAGUUCUACAGUUCUCUCUGUCAUCAUUUGAUAAUGAGAAACCAAGUCCAAGUCUUUUGUUCCAAAAAGAUGUCAGACCCUCAGUGAAGCAAACAGAGAAAGGCCUAAGUGUUUUUCUGUCAACGCUCUAUGCCAUUAAACGAAAACACUGUGGAGAUGAAUUUAAGAAAGUGGUUGCAUAUAUUAGGAGACUGAGUGGAUGCAAUGCUUUGGCUCAAAGUUUAUUCCAAAUGAUCUGUGGGAACUUGCAUGUAACUAGAAACCAAAAGAUUGCUGUUGUUGAGGGUCUUUACUUUCUUUUCCGAGAGUUGUUACCAGAUCGUAAUGAAACAUCAGGUCCAAAGGUCAUUGAAGAUGGUGAUGUUUUUGAAUAUGCAAAUAUUUGCUGGGCUUACCUGAUUGCUCAAGGACAGGAUGAAAGUACUGAUCUGGAGACCUUUGCUACAAUUUCCUUGAAAGCUUAUCCUACUGGCCAGCGGCUGUGUGAGCCAGUGAGAGUACCAGGGACACCAGAAGUAUUUGACAGGUCAUACGUACUGGAAAAAAUCACAGAUGGUGUAAAAAUUCCAAACUGUGAUGAGGUGAAUCUGCUGGAGUCAUCGAUUCAAAGAGCUAAAGAUAUCGAGAAAAUUUCGCUUAGUCUUCCGGCAUCAUUUGAUAGGUUUCCAUUGUGGAUCUUUUAUAACAGCACCCCACAAUGUUGCAACUUUCAGAUUGAACAGAAGAAAACAUUUUCAGACAUGUUUGAGGAUGUCAAACGGUACAGUCACUUGAUUGUCACACCACCACUGCAACUGGCAAAUAUGGGAACUGAGGCUCCUCGGUUGGUGUAUCUCAGUGAAGAUAAUCUAGGUGUUUACUUGAGCAAAGACAAGGGAGACCCGUUUAAGAUUUGGGUUAUGACUGUCUGUCUGGAACAGAAACCAUAA